UACGUAGGGGGCAAGCGUUGUCCGGAUUUAUUGGGCGUAAAGAGCGUGUAGGCGGCCAUACAGGUCCGUUGUGAAAACUCGAGGCUCAACCUCGAGACGCCGGUGGAAACCGUAAAGCUAGAGUCCGGAAGAGGAGAGUGGAAUUCCUGGUGUAGCGGUGAAAUGCGCAGAUAUCAGGAAGAACACCCGUGGCUAAGGCGGCUCUCUAGUACGGUACUGACGCUGAGACGCGAAAGCGUGGGGAGCGAACAGG
rnacentral:rRNA from 1 species